AUUCCAGCUCCAAUAGCGUAUAUUAAAGUUGUUGCGGUUAAAAAGCUCGUAGUUGGAUUUCUGUUGAGGUUGGGCGGUCCGCACUACGUGGGAGUAUCUGCCUCGGCCUUGGCAUCCUCUCGGAAAACGCUACUGUGCUUGAUUGCAUGGUGCGGGGUUCGGGACUUUUACUUUGAGGAAAUUAGAGUGUUCACGGCAGGCAAUCGCCCUGAAUAUAUUAGCAUGGAAUAAUAAUAUAGGAUCUGAUGCCUAUUUUGUUGGUUUCUAGACGUGAGAUAAUGAUUAAUAGGGACAAUUGGGGGGAUUCGUAUUAUGGCGUCAGAGGUGGAAUUCUUGGAUUGCCAUACGACGAACUACUGCGAAAGCAUUUCUCAGGGAUGUUUUCAUCA
rnacentral:rRNA from 1 species